AAAGCGGAACCUUUGUGAACGCGGGUAGCGGGGAAAGGAAGCUAGCGAAUGAAUCACUUGUAGCCAGCCAGUCUCUUUCAUAAUAAACAGUAGGACAAUAGCAGCGUAUUUUCUGAAAUAAAGUUUUUGAAAACCAUAUCUGCCAUUUAUAGGCGGACGAAGUAAUCGAAUAAACAGACGAUCGAUUUAAAUCGAGGAAGAAAUUCGGUAGCAAUGUCCGAGACUGGAAACGGCGUGGAGCUGCGGGAAGAGCGAGCAGUUGAACUUGAAGAAACCGGAGGAGUGGAGGAAAAGGAUGAUGUGUCAGAGGCCAGCAAGGAGGAGUCUUCUGAAGCCGGACAGGAUGCCCAAGAUGAGGACCCCUCUUCAUCUACAGCGCCAGCCUAUGAGGAGAAAGUGGCAUCAGACCGGACCAACAGAUUUGAGUACCUACUGAAGCAGACAGAGGUGUUUGCCCAUUUCAUCCAACCUGCGGCCCAGAAGACCCCCACCUCCCCGCUCAAGAUGAAGCCAGGGCGCCCUCGUGUCAAGAAGGACGAGAAACAGAAUCUCCUCUCGGUCGGCGAUAACCGUCAUCGUCGCACAGAGCAGGAAGAGGAUGAAGAGCUGCUGAGCGAAAGCAGCAAGACCACCAACGUCUGCACCCGCUUCGAUGAAUCUCCCUCCUUUGUAAAAGGGGGUACAAUGAGAGACUACCAGGUCCGUGGUCUGAACUGGCUCAUCUCUCUGUACGAGAACGGAAUCAACGGGAUCCUUGCUGAUGAAAUGGGUUUGGGUAAGACCCUGCAGACCAUCUCUCUGCUGGGGUACAUGAAGCACUACAGGAGCAUCCCCGGGCCCCACAUGGUGCUGGUGCCCAAGUCCACCCUGUACAACUGGAUGAACGAGUUCAAGCGUUGGGUCCCCUCCCUCAAAGCAGUCUGCCUCAUCGGAGACCGAGAGCAGAGGAAUGCCCUGAUCAGAGAUGUGCUGCUGCCAGGGGAGUGGGAUGUGUGUGUUACCUCUUACGAGAUGCUCAUCAUAGAGAAGGCCGUGUUCAAGAAGUUUAACUGGAGGUACCUGGUCAUCGACGAGGCCCACAGGAUCAAGAACGAGAAGUCAAAGCUGUCAGAGAUAGUGCGUGAAUUCAAGACCACCAACCGUCUGCUGCUAACCGGCACCCCGCUGCAGAACAACCUCCACGAGCUCUGGGCCCUGCUCAACUUCCUGCUGCCAGACGUCUUCAACUCCUCAGAGGACUUUGACUCAUGGUUUGACACCAACAACUGCCUGGGGGAUCAGAAGUUGGUGGAACGUCUUCACACUGUACUGCGUCCUUUCCUGCUGCGUCGUAUCAAGAAUGAGGUGGAGAAGUCUCUGCUGCCUAAGAAAGAGAUCAAGAUGUACGUGGGGCUGAGUAAGAUGCAGAGAGAAUGGUACACCAAGAUCCUGAUGAAGGACAUAGACAUCCUGAACUCUGCAGGGAAGAUGGACAAGAUGCGCCUGCUCAACGUCUUGAUGCAGCUGAGGAAGUGCUGCAACCAUCCAUACCUGUUUGACGGGGCCGAGCCCGGCCCGCCUUACACCACCGACCUGCACCUGGCCGUCAACAGCGGCAAGAUGGCCGUCCUUGACAAGCUGCUGCCCAAGAUGAAGGCUCAGGGCUCCCGUGUGCUGAUCUUCAGCCAGAUGACCAGGAUGCUGGACAUCUUGGAGGACUACUGCAUGUGGCGCAACUUCGGCUACUGUCGCCUGGACGGACAGACGCCCCACGAGGAGAGACAGAUCUCCAUCAACGCGUACAAUGAGGAGGACAGCCCUAAGUUCAUCUUCAUGUUGAGCACCAGGGCCGGAGGGCUGGGUAUUAACCUGGCCACAGCUGACGUGGUCAUCCUCUACGACUCAGACUGGAACCCUCAGGUCGACCUACAGGCCAUGGACCGAGCUCACAGGAUUGGUCAAAAGAAGCAGGUGCGCGUGUUCCGUUUCAUCACGGAAAACACAGUAGAGGAGAGGAUCGUGGAGCGAGCCGAGAUGAAGCUCCAACUGGACUCCAUUGUCAUCCAGCAAGGAAGGCUAGUGGAUCCCAAUGCCAACAAGCUGGGGAAGGACGAGAUGCUGUCUAUCAUCCGGCACGGCGCCACGCACGUCUUCGCCUCUAAGGAGAGCGACAUCACCGACGAUGACAUCGACGAGAUCCUGGAGCGAGGCGAGAAGAAGACCAUGGAGUUGAAGGAGAAGAUGAACACCAUGGGCGAGAGCUCCCUGAGGAACUUCACCAUGGAGUCCGACAACAGUGUAUACACCUUCGAAGGAGAGGACUACAGGGAGAAGAAGAAGGUGGUCACCAACUGGAUCGAGCCACCCAAGAGAGAGAGGAAGGCCAACUACGCAGUGGAUGCCUACUUCAGAGAGGCCCUGCGUGUCAGCGAGCCUAAAGCACCCAAGGCUCCUCGUCCACCUAAGCAGCCCAAUGUGCAGGACUUCCAGUUCUUCCCCCCCAAGGCUGUUUGAACUGCUGGAGAAAGAGAUCCUAUUCUACAGGAAGACUAUCGGCUACAAGGUUCCUCGUAACCCAGAACUGCCCAACUCGGCCCAGCACCAGAAGGAGGAGCAGGCCAAGAUUGACGAGGCCGAGGGCCUAUCAGAGGAGGAGCUGGAGGAGAAGGAGAACCUCCUCUCGCAGGGCUUCACCAUCUGGAACAAGCGUGACUUUAACCAGUUCAUCAAAGCCAAUGAGAAGUGGGGGAGAGACGACAUCGAGAACAUCGCCAGAGAGGUGGAGGGCAAAACCCCAGAGGAAGUCAUGGAAUAUUCUGCUGUGUUCUGGGAGCGCUGCAACGAGCUGCAGGACAUUGAGAAGAUCAUGGCUCAGAUCGAGAGAGGAGAGGCCCGCAUCCAGAGGAGGAUCAGCAUCAAGAAAGCACUGGACACAAAGAUUGGUCGCUACAAGGCGCCGUUCCACCAGUUGAGGAUCUCGUACGGCACCAACAAGGGGAAGAACUACACGGAGGAGGAGGACCGCUUCCUCAUUUGCAUGCUGCACAAGCUGGGCUUCGAAAAGGAGUCUGUCUACGACGAGCUGCGCCAGUGCAUCCGCAACUCGCCCCAGUUUCGCUUCGACUGGUUCCUCAAGUCCAGGACCGCCAUGGAGCUCCAGAGGCGAUGCAACACCCUGAUCACCCUGAUUGAACGAGAGAACAUGGAGCUGGAGGAGAGGGAGAAGGCAGAGAAGAAGAAGAAAGGACCACGGAGUCAGUCUUCUGCUCAGAAGCGUAAGGGAGAAGGGACCCCAGACCCGCGAGGAGGCCGCAGGAAAAAGCUAAAGCUGUGAGGCGGUGGUGGUCACAAUGAGGGCGUGGCAGACAGCAGUAUAGUAGUCGUAGCAUCUGUUUGUUUUGUACGGGUUACCGUGGUGAUCCAUGAUGAUGAUGAUGAUUUACUGUAUAAAACCCAAAAGGACUGAACUUUUCUUCACUAUAGCGUGUUGUUCUAUCUAGAAGAUUCCAGGAGGGAACCUAUGUUCUUAGUGUGGAUUUAAGGCAGCCCCCCACACCUCUCUGAUUCAGAGGUUGGGUUAAAUGUGGAAGACACAUUUCAGUUAUACAACUGACUAGGUCUCCCCCUCUCCCUAUUGUAUUCCUUCUAUACACAGGCCUGCUAGUAGGGACUAACUGACACACUGCAGCUGCGCUGAUUUAGUUGAAUUUAAUUUUUGUUGUUUUAGUUUUCUACCCUUUUUUUACUAGUUCUUGAGGUGACGAGAGAUUAAUUUAUGCCUGUUGGUUAUGUUAUCACAUUCCUUUGAUUGUACGAUACCUGUAUGUACCGAUACCUGUAUGUACCGAUACCUGUAUCUAUCCCCCCUCCCACUCUGUUAUGUUACCGACCUACAUUGUAGAAAAUGUAUUUUUGGAACGUGUCACUAAUAAACUUCCCCUUUUUUAAA